CUAUGGACCAAUAGUGAAGUAGGUAAGUAAACACAGGCAUAAAUAUGGGCCCAUAGUGAAGUAGGGAAGUAAACACAGGUAUUAAUAUGGGCCAAUAGUGAAGUAGGGAAAUAAACACGGGUAUUAAUAUGGGCCAAUAGUGAAGCAGGGAAGUAAACAAGGGUAUUAAUAUGGGCCAAUAGUGAAGUAGGGAAGUAAACACAGGCAUAAAUAUGGGCCCAUAGUGAAGUAGGGAAGUAAACACGGGAAUUAAUAUGGGCCAAUAGUGAAGUAGGAAAGUAAACACAGGUUCAAAUAUGGGCCAAUAGUGAAGUAGGGAAGUAAACACAGGCAUAAAUAUGGGCCAAUAGUUAAGUAGGGAAGUAAACACGGGAAUUAAUAUGGGCCAAUAGUGAAGUAGGAAAGUAAACACAGGUAUUACUAUGGGCCAAUAGUGAAGUAGGGAAGUAAACACAGGCAAAAAUAAGGGCCAAUAGAGAAGUAGGGAAGUAAACACAGAUGCAAAUAUGGGCCAAUAGUGAAGUAGGGAAGUAAACUCGGGUAUUUUAAUAUGGGUCAAUAGUGAAGUAGGGAAGUAAACACAGGCAUAAAUAUGGGCCAAUGGUGAAGUAAGGAAGUAAACACAGGCACAAAUAUGGGCCAAUAGUGAAGUAAGGAAGUAAGCACGGGUAUUAAUAUGGGCCAAUAGUGAAGUAGGGAAGUAAACACAGGCAAAAAUAUGGGCCAAUAGAGAAGUAGGGAAGUAAACACAGGUGCAAAUAUGGGCCAAUAGUGAAGUAGGGAAGUAAACUAGGGUAUUUUAAUAUGGGUCAAUAGUGAAGUAGGGAAUUAAACACAGGCAUAAAUAUGGGCCAAUAGUGAAGUAAGGAAGUAAACACGGGUAUUAAUAUGGGCCCAUAGUGAAGUAAGGAAGUAAGCACGGGUAUUAAUAAGGGCCCAUAGUAAAGUAGGGAAGUAAACACGGGAAUUAAUAUGGGCCAAUAGUGAAGAAGGGAGGUAAACACAGGCAUAAAUAUGGGCGAAUAGUGAAGUAGGGAAGUAAACACGGGUAUUAAUAUGGGCCAAUAGUGAAGUAGGAAAGUAAACACGGUUAUUAAUAUGGGCCAAUAGUGAAGUAAGGAAGUAAACACUGGUAUUAAAAUGGGUCAAUAGUGAAGUAGGGAAGUAAACACGGGUAUUAAUAUGGGCCAAUAGUGAAGUAAGGAAGUAAACACUGGUAUUAAUAUGGGUCAAUAGUGAAGAAGGGAAGUAAACACUGGUAUUAAUAUGGGUCAAUAGUGAAGUAGGGAAGUAAACACGGGUAUUAAUAUGGGCCAAUAGUGAAGUAAGGGAGUAAACACGGGUAUUAAUAUUGGCCAAUAGUGAAGUAAGGAAGUAAACACGGGUAUUAAUAUGGGCCAAUAGUGAAGUAAGAGAUUACGAGCAGGAAUAUACAUGGGGAGUAUGCUGGGUAAAUGUGGACGAACAGUCAUGUUGGCGUGGGUAAUGGGAGUGGAAAAUAUGAAUAAACAUGGUACUCAGCAUAUCCAUAUGUCAGUCGCAUUUUGUUUACUCUGCACUAAUAAGACAUUUAAUGACCAACUGUCAACAUUUAUGAAAGCACCAUAGACCAUAUCUCCUCAUCGGCGUGAUGAAGGCACAAGCAAAUCAUCUAACGUAUUUGUCUUUAAUAAAAUUGCCUUAAUGUUCUUCAUCAUUUACCUUACAAAAUAUAAUUAAAUAUAAGGAACUCAAAACUAAUGUUGAGAUGAUGUAUGGCGACAUUAACCUGCAUCACACAGACGGUCCGUGAAUAAAUGAUCACGUCACAUACGAAGCCGAUGAACAGAUAAACUGACAGACUGCUUGUAAACAUUUAGCAAUUGUUACUCCAAAUACGCAGUUGUAUCUGGGCGUCCUUGAGAACUAAAAAGAGCGGGAGGGAAAUAUUGAAUAUAUGUUAUGUAAAGGAGAUAUGACCUCAACAGAAAACUCUUUAAAAGGUCACACCUCAUAUGGGUCCCAGAUGAGUACACGUUGAUACUCGUAUACCUCGUUUUACAGGUGUGUCGUUAUAGAUGGUGCUAGAAAGAAAUAAAGAUACUGUUCCCAUUUGGCGGUACAUUGUAUGACGGUAGACAUGCUAUUCCCCUAUUGCAGUACAAUGUGUAUCGCUACAGAUACUAUUCCCCUAUUGCAGUACAAUGUGUAUCGCUACAGAUACUAUUCCUCUCCCGAUGCAAUAGUAUAGAGAUUGUGACUUCUGAAAAUACAUCUGCGCUCUUUUACCUUUUCGUGACAAUUCAGUUAGCAACACAUGACUGUUUCCAACCAGUAUUGAUAUUUACUCGGCGUCGUUAAUGAAGGGUCAAGCUAUUGGUAACGCUAUUUCUUAAAAGUUGUGAAAAUCUUCGUUUUUGUUUGAA
rnacentral:lncRNA from 1 species